rnacentral:rRNA from 1 species
UACGGAGGAUGCAAGCGGUAUCCGGAAUGAUUGGGCGUAAAGCGUCCGCAGGUGGCUAUGUAAGUCUGCUGUUAAAGAGUCUAGCUCAACUAGAUAAGAGCAGUGGAAACUACAUGGCUAGAGUGCGUUCGGGGCAGAGGGAAUUCCUGGUGUAGCGGUGAAAUGCGUAGAGAUCAGGAAGAACACCGGUGGCGAAGGCGCUCUGCUAGGCCGCAACUGACACUGAGGGACGAAAGCUAGGGGAGCGAAUGGG